AGUGGAAGCGUCUGGAAAGGCGCGCGAUACAGGGUGACAGCCCCGUACACAAAAGCGCAUGUGCUGUGAGCUCGAUGAGUAGGGCGGGACACGUGGUAUCCUGUCUGAAUAUGGGGGGACCAUCCUCCAAGGCUAAAUACUCCUGACUGACCGAUAGUGAACCAGUACCGUGAGGGAAAGGCGAAAAGAACCCCGGCGAGGGGAGUGAAAAAGAACCUGAAACCGUGUACGUACAAGCAGUGGGAGCACCCUUUGGGGUGUGACUGCGUACCUUUUGUAUAAUGGGUCAGCGACUUAUAUUCUGUAGCAAGGUUAACCGAAUAGGGGAGCCGGAGGGAAACCGAGUCUUAAYYGGGCGUUAAGUUGCAGGGUAUAGACCCGAAACCCGGUGAUCUAGCCAUGGGCAGGUUGAAGGUUGGGUAACACUAACUGGAGGACCGAACCGACUAAUGUUGAAAAAUUAGCGGAUGACCUGUGGCUGGGGGUGAAAGGCCAAUCAAACCGGGAGAUAGCUGGUUCUCCCCGAAAGCUAUUUAGGUAGCGCCUCGUGAAUUCAUCUCCGGGGGUAG
rnacentral:rRNA from 1 species